UCUAGUGAGACUGCCGGUGACAAACCGGAGGAAGGUGGGGAUGACGUCAAGUCCUCAUGGCCCUUAUGGGUAGGGCUUCACACGUCAUACAAUGGUCGGUACAGAGGGUUGCCAAGCCGCGAGGUGGAGCCAAUCCCUUAAGCCGAUCGUAGUCCGGAUCGUAGUCUGCAACUCGACUACGUGAAGUCGGAAUCGCUAGUAAUCGCAGAUCAGCAUGCUGCGGUGAAUACGUUCCCGGGUCUU
rnacentral:rRNA from 1 species